CCUACGGGAGGCAGCAGUGAGGAAUAUUGGUCAAUGGACGCAAGUCUGAACCAGCCAUGCCGCGUGCAGGAUGACGGCUCUAUGAGUUGUAAACUGCUUUUGUACGAGGGUAAACCCCGAUACGUGUAUCGGGUUGAAAGUAUCGUACGAAUAAGGAUCGGCUAACUCCGUGCCAGCAGCCGCGGUAAUACGGAGGAUCCGAGCGUUAUCCGGAUUUAUUGGGUUUAAAGGGUGCGUAGGCGGUUGGAUAAGUUAGAGGUGAAAUGUCGGGGCUCAACCCCGAAACUGCCUCUAAUACUGUUGGACUAGAGAAUAGUUGCGGUAGGCGGAAUGUAUGGUGUAGCGGUGAAAGGCUUAGAGAUCAUACAGAACACCGAUUGCGAAGGCAGCUUACCAAACUAUAUCUGACGUUGAGGCACGAAAGCGUGGGUAGCAAACAGGAUUAGAUACCCCUGUAGUC
rnacentral:rRNA from 1 species